UUUUUUUUUUUUUUUUUUUUUUGUAUUGAUGUGGUUUUCGUUUUCGGAGAACAACAUCGCAUCACUGUUCAGAUUCGAGUGCAGAGGGGAGACAUGGAGGGGUCUUGGGGGCUCAGGGAUAAGUUUCUUCAAUGAGAUUGAGCAGACGAUGGUAGUGUAGGCGGAUAUGGAGAAAUGCUUAUUUGUGGGGACCACGUUCACUUGGACUUCUGAAGCAAGAUUGAUUCGGGUAUGCAUUUGGUGAACUGCAUGAGAGCCUCUGCGAAGACUCGUUUCGGUGCAGGUUAGGUUAGCUGGCAAACCUUGUGCGUGGCUUGCCAUGCGGCUCCUACGUUAAGGCAAGUUUCUGGUAGUUGGUCUUCCACCUGAGAACCCUGGCACUGUCCUCUUCAUUGGUUUGAAAUGAUUGACAAUGUCGAUGGCCAAUGCUACUCAGGACCAAGGGCACCGAUCUAGCUUCACAGAUCUUUCCUCGGUUUUACGUUGCAGCUCAUACCAGUGCCAACACUGGUUUAUCAUUUCCUUGUGUCUGGCAUCUCUUGGGUCCAUCUCGAAUGCACCUCAAUGAGCUUAAUUAUGGACAGGGCAAGAAUGUUGAUUUUUCGUUUGAAUUGGAUGCAGAGAGUUAUCGAUUUAAGCCAGUUCAGUGAAUGUGUAGGACUUCUACUUGAGCACCUGAGAUCACGUUCGAGAACUUCUGAAAUAUACUCUAUACAACAAGAGAAAGAAUCUCAUUGUCACCCUCAAUUGGACAGCCCACGAUGGCCACAAACGAAGGUAUUCUGCAGAGUCGAGGCAAGGUCCUCGUGCCAACGACAGGGAGACCAUGGUUAGCAGUAGAGACGAUCGUUGGGUGUGAAUUUAAUCAGGUAAAAAGAGCUUACUGUAAUGUAUACCACGUAACAAUUCUCGAAGCCUGCCUGACGAGGUUCAAUACACCCAACCGUUUCAAGCAACUACGAUGUGGCAGUUUAGUUAAACCCAGGCCAGAGAACAUUUAAGUAUGUUCUUGCAUAUAUCUUCACAGAGCGUCACAAGACUGAUGCUGCCGCAGGAUUCAGGAGAAGCAUAGCAAGGAUGGUUCACUCUUUGCCGAUGACCUAUGAACUUACCCCUCACUAGUUAUCAAUCUCAGGGUGCAUACCACCACCCUUAAGCUCCAUCAUGGUAAAGCCUUAUUAGUUUGGGAUUGUUAUAGAUGUACAAAACUGUAAAAACUGUAAAAACACCAGUUCUCUGUAAAAUAUUUCUGUUCCAGUUG